rnacentral:rRNA from 1 species
UACGUAGGGGGCAAGCGUUAUCCGGAUUUACUGGGUGUAAAGGGAGCGUAGACGGAAUUGCAAGUCUGAUGUGAAAAUCCGGGGCCCAACCCCGGAACUGCAUUGGAAACUGUAUUUCUAGAGUGUCGGAGAGGCAAGUGGAAUUCCUGGUGUAGCGGUGAAAUGCGUAGAUAUCAGGAGGAACACCAGUGGCGAAGGCGGCUUGCUGGACGAUGACUGACGUUGAGGCUCGAAAGCGUGGGGAGCAAACGGG